rnacentral:misc_RNA from 1 species
GGAAGAACUGCAAAUUCGUAUGAAUGACAUUUGAAUGAUGAAUGUCGGAUACAACGACAUACAGUACAAGGUGGCAUUUUAAAGUACAAAGCCAAUUUCUCAAGAGACCACAAAAAGUAGCAUUACCAUAUUUCCAUCUUAAACCACCAACCUCAAUAUUGAUUAUUAUCAAACACCCAUGGUUGGUGCAAGAAAAGCUCUCGCCCGUUCAUUUGCACUGCUCCUGAGGCUAUAUCUUCCGCACGUUUCCUUGCUGUUUCAUCUCUUUUAGCAGAUGCCUCAGCAUCCUUCUGGCGCUUCCAGGAUAGGAACUGAGCCUCGGUGAUGGGAACCGUCCUUGGAUUAUGAGAUGCGAGCUUCUCUUGUUCCAUAGCUCCUUCUUCAGCCCCCAUUUUGUUG